GUCCAGCUUGCUGGGCAUGAAAGUGGCGCACGGGUGCSUAACGCGUAUGCAACCUACCUUUAUCAGGGGGAUAGCCCGGAGAAAUCCGGAUUAAUACCGCAUAAAAUCACAGCACUGCAUAGUGCAAUGAUCAAACAUUUAUGGGAUAAAGAUGGGCAUGCGUGUCAUUAGCUAGUUGGCGGGGUAACGGCCCACCAAGGCGACGAUGACUAGGGGAUCUGAGAGGAUGGCCCCCCACACUGGUACUGAGACACGGACCAGACUCCUACGGGAGGCAGCAGUAAGGAAUAUUGGUCAAUGGAGGCAACUCUGAACCAGCCAUGCCGCGUGCAGGAAGACUGCCCUAUGGGUUGUAAACUGCUUUUAUCCGGGAAUAAACCUUUCUACGUGUAGGAAGCUGAAUGUACCGGAAGAAUAAGGAUCGGCUAACUCCGUGCCAGCAGCCGCGGUAAUACGGAGGAUCCAAGCGUUAUCCGGAUUUAUUGGGUUUAAAGGGUGCGUAGGCGGCCUGUUAAGUCAGGGGUGAAAGACGGUAGCUCAACUAUCGCAGUGCCCUUGAUACUGAUGGGCUUGAAUGGACUAGAGGUAGGCGGAAUGAGACAAGUAGCGGUGAAAUGCAUAGAUAUGUCUCAGAACACCGAUUGCGAAGGCAGCUUACUAUGGUCUUAUUGACGCUGAGGCACGAAAGCGUGGGGAUCAAACAGGAUUAGAUACCCUGGUAGUCCACGCCCUAAACGAUGAACACUCGCUGUUGGCGAUACACAGUCAG
rnacentral:rRNA from 1 species